GCCUGAAUGGUCUAGUGGUAUGAUUCCUGCUUUGGGCAAUCCGAAAAUGCAGGAGGUCUCCGGUUCAAUCCCGGAUUCAGGCC